rnacentral:rRNA from 1 species
GACGAACGCUGGCGGCGUGCUUAACACAUGCAAGUCGAACGGUGAAGGGGUCUGCUUUUGUGGGCCCUGGAUGAGUGGCGAACGGGUGAGUAACACGUGAGUAACCUGCCCCCUUCUUCUGGAUAACCGCAUGAAAGUGUGGCUAAUACGGGAUAUUCUGGGUCUGUCGCAUGAUGGGUCUGGGAAAGAUUGCGCCUUUGGGUGUUUUUGGUGGGGGAUGGGCUCGCGGCCUAUCAGCUUGUUGGUGGGGUGAUGGCCUACCAAGGCGGUGACGGGUAGCCGGCCUGAGAGGGUGGACGGUCACACUGGGACUGAGACACGGCCCAGACUCCUACGGGAGGCAGCAGUGGGGAAGAGUGCACAAUGGGCGCAAGCCUGAUGCAGCGACGCCGCGUGAGGGAUGGAGGCCUUCGGGUUGUAAACCUCUUUCGCCAGUGAAGCAGGCCUGCUCCUUGUGGGUGGGUUGACGGUAGCUGGAUAAGAAGCGCCGGCUAACUACGUG